rnacentral:rRNA from 1 species
GACGAACGCUGGCGGCGUGCUUAACACAUGCAAGUCGAACGGUGAACCUCUUCGGAGGGGAUCAGUGGCGAACGGGUGAGUAACACGUGGGCAACCUGCCCCCGGCUCUGGGAUAACUCCAAGAAAUUGGGGCUAAUACCGGAUGUUCACCGCUUCCCGCAUGGGUGGUGGUGGAAAGGGUUUCCGGCUGGGGAUGGGCCCGCGGCCUAUCAGCUUGUUGGUGGGGUAGUGGCCUACCAAGGCGACGACGGGUAGCCGGCCUGAGAGGGUGACCGGCCACACUGGGACUGAGACACGGCCCAGACUCCUACGGGAGGCAGCAGUGGGGAAUAUUGCGCAAUGGGCGGAAGCCUGGCGCAGCGACGCCGCGUGGGGGAUGACGGCCUUCGGGUUGUAAACCUCUUUCAGCAGGGACGAAGCGCAAGUGACGGUACCUGCAGAAGAAGCCCCGGCCAACUACGUG